UUACACCACCAUGUCCUUAUUUGUGCAGACAUUUCGGUCCAGGUUAGUUGCCUCAACUUAGAUUUUCCUGUGCCUUCAUUCUGAGCUCCUACGGCAAGUUUUAAGAAAGAUGGGUUUUAAACCUUUUGUUUCCUGCCUGACUGAAUACCUUGACGUUUUUCUCAUGUAUAUACAGGAACAAACACAUGCCACACACACACAAAGUUGAUAACUGUUGACCUUUGCUUUAUUUCUAGGAACUGGGACUAUUUGACUCAGUGUCAGCCACUACUCAUAUCGUAUCAAAGUUCUCCUCAGUAAAAGAAUCUGUUGAAUAUUUUUGCCUCCCAGCUGAGCAAGGGGAAUACUGUCAGCUUUUUAAAAUACAGUCUAAAUGCUUGGCCAUAACUACUCAUCUGUCAAGUUGACUCCUCAUUAAAAAAAAAAAAGAUGAGAGCGUUAACAUUACAAGGCCCUAGAAGAAAGACAUGUUGCAAUUCAAGUCCGUAUUCUUGACCUUGCCCUGUUACUGUGAAGACUCAUGGGUCUGUCCAGUUAGUCUCUCCUCACUGCCUGAAAGCAUCCCUUGCUCCAGCGGUCCUUGUCUCACAAAUCACUCUCCAGCCAACUUUUCACAUUUUCUCUUCACGCUUGAGACUGCUUCAUGGGAUCCUGAUCAUUUGGUGUUUCUUCUCCUUUCCUUUUUGAGCAAAGUAAGGACAAAUGAGUCAGAAAGAGGAGAGAAGGUAAAGAGGGUGACUAACUCAGGAUCACUUCUGUCACUUGUAGUGGCUGAGGGCCAGGCGAUACUCCAGUGGCACGCUCCCGGCUGGCCCCAUCACACGGCCAUCAAGAACCUACUGUGAUCAUCAGAUACUUCGACAUGUAUUCCUUACAGCUAAGUCUUUAAGGAAGGAUAGUGCACAUACUGAGUGAAAGAAUCAGACUUCAGAAUUCUCUUAAGCUCCAGACUUCUCCCGGACUCCCUCCUGGCCAGCCGUGGCGCACUAGCCCC